rnacentral:rRNA from 1 species
UACGGAGGGUGCAAGCGUUGUCCGGAAUCACUGGGCGUAAAGGGCGCGUAGGCGGCUCGGUAAGUAGGGGGUGAAAUCCUGCGGCUUAACCGCGGGGCUGCCUUCUAAACUGUCGAGCUCGAGCACGGUAGAGGCAGAUGGAAUUCCCGGUGUAGCGGUGGAAUGCGUAGAGAUCGGGAAGAACAUCAGUGGCGAAGGCGGUCUGCUGGGCCGUUGCUGACGCUGAGGCGCGACAGCGUGGGGAGCAAACAGG